UCCAUCUUCCCUAUUGGGAUUUAGCUCAUACUUUUAAAGCCUAGAAAAUCCUCUCCCCUCUAAAGGAUGGAUACAUUCCCACUUGUCUUUUUGUGCAAGUGUUGUUUAAUCCCCCACCUCCCAUUUAACGCCAUCGGGAACUGAAUUAAUUUUGUCGAGGAAACUGAGGCUCUGAAAAAUGCAGUUACAUCGCAGAGGAUUCUCUGGUAGGCACGUGAAGUUGGGCAUUCAUUCCAGGCACAGGUAGAAAACCCAGGGCUGUUGUUAAACUGAGAUGAGCCACAUAGAAUGUGAAAAAGAAAGUUUAGGGAAAGUAGCAAUGCUUACUAGAGAAGACUGCUGAUGCUGCCAAUAACUACGGAG
ensembl:lncRNA